rnacentral:rRNA from 1 species
AUACGGAGGGUGCGAGCGUUAAUCGGAAUUACUGGGCGUAAAGCGUGCGUAGGCGGAUUAUUAAGCAAGAUGUGAAAGCCCAGGGCUCAACCUUGGAACUGAAUUUUGAACUGGUAGUCUAGAGUACUGUAGAGGGUGGUGGAAUUUCCAGUGUAGCGGUGAAAUGCGUAGAGAUUGGAAGGAACAUCAGUGGCGAAGGCGGCCACCUGGACAGAUACUGACGCUGAGGCACGAAAGCGUGGGGAGCGAACAGGAUUAGAUACCCCAGAGUCC